rnacentral:rRNA from 1 species
UACGUAGGGUGCGAGCGUUAAUCGGAAUUACUGGGCGUAAAGCGUGCGCAGGCGGUUUUGUAAGCCAGAUGUGAAAGCCCCGGGCUUAACCUGGGAAUGGCAUUUGGGACUGCAAGGCUUGAGUGCGGCAGAGGAGACUGGAAUUCCUGGUGUAGCAGUGAAAUGCGUAGAUAUCAGGAGGAAUACCGAUGGCGAAGGCAGGUCUCUGGGCUGACACUGACGCUGAGGCGCGAAAGCUAGGGUAGCAAACGGG